UCAAUUAUUGUACUAUAAAAGUAUGUCUUAUCUCAUGGCCUAAAGCACUAUAUGUUGUCUAAUCUUUUCGCCUUUAAUAUUAUUUUCUAUAUUUCAACCGUCACUAAAAUGAAUAAAGAAUAACAAACAUAUCAUAUUUUACUGUACAAUAUUAGUUUUCAUUUCUGCGUUUUUGGAGAUCAGUGUAGAUGCGGCUGGUUGUAAAAAGCACAACGAAGUAUGUGCUGGUACAUUUGGAGUGAACGAGUGCUGUAAAAGUGAACACCUUGUGUGUACGGUUCAACGUAAUACAAAAGACUCUUAUCGUUGCAGUAUCCAACCCAGAAGUCCUGUGACGUCUUAAAGUUAAGAAACAGAAAAUGGAUUUGAUGAAUAUUGUAAAAUAUGAUUCAAAUAAUAAAGUGCAUAAAUAAC